UACGAAGGGGGCUAGCGUUGCUCGGAAUCACUGGGCGUAAAGGGCGCGUAGGCGGAUCUUUAAGUCGGGGGUGAAAGCCUGUGGCUCAACCACAGAAUUGCCUUCGAUACUGUUUGGCUUGAGACCGGAAGAGGUAAGUGGAACUGCGAGUGUAGAGGUGAAAUUCGUAGAUAUUCGCAAGAACACCAGUGGCGAAGGCGGCUCACUGGCCCGAUACUGACGCUGAGGUGCGAAAGCGUGGGGAGCGAACAGG
rnacentral:rRNA from 1 species